AGAGUUUGAUCCUGGCUCAGAUUGAACGCUGGCGGCACGCCUAACACAUGCAAGUCGAGCGGCAGCGAGAUCAGUAGUAAUACUGGUUGUCGGCGAGCGGCGGACGGGUGAGUAACACGUAGGAACCUGCCCUUCAGAGGGGGACAACCAAGGGAAACUUUGGCUAAUACCGCAUAAACUCUGAGGAGAGAAGUUGCCCUGGAGAGAUUCAGGGUGACGCUGAAGGAGGGGCCUGCGUCCGAUUAGCUAGUUGGUGAGGUAAUAGCUUACCAAGGCGAUGAUCGGUAACUGGUCUGAGAGGACGACCAGUCACACUGGGACUGAGACACGGCCCAGACUCCUACGGGAGGCAGCAGUGGGGAAUCUUGGACAAUGGGGGAGACCCUGAUCCAGCGAUGCCGCGUGGGUGAAGAAGGCCUUCGGGUUGUAAAGCCCUUUAGGCUAGGAAGAAGCUUGCGGGAUGAUAAGUCCCGUAGGUUGACGGUACUAACAGAAUAAGCACCGGCAAACUCUGUGCCAGCAGCCGCGGUAAUACAGAGGGUGCGAGCGUUAAUCGGAGUUACUGGGCGUAAAGGGCGCGUAGGCGGUAGUAUGAGUGUGAUGUGAAAGCCCUGGGCUUAACCUGGGAAGUGCAUCGCAAACGAUGCUACUGGAGUACUAGAGAGGGUGGCGGAAUUUCCGGUGUAGCGGUGAAAUGCGUAGAGAUCGGAAGGAACGUCGAUGGCGAAGGCAGCUGCCUGGCUAGAUACUGACGCUGAGGCGCGAAAGCGUGGGGAGCGAACAGGAUUAGAUACCCCGUAGUCC
rnacentral:rRNA from 1 species